rnacentral:rRNA from 1 species
AUACGGAGGGGGCUAGCGUUGUUCGGAAUUACUGGGCGUAAAGCGCGCGUAGGCGGAUUGAUCAGUCAGGGGCGAAAUCCCGGAGCUUAACUCCGGAACUGCCUUUGAUACUGUCAAUCUUGAGUUCGAGAGAGGUGAGUGGAAUUCCUAGUGUAGAGGUGAAAUUCGUAGAUAUUAGGAAGAACACCAGUGGCGAAGGCGGCUCACUGGCUCGAUACUGACGCUGAGGUGCGAAAGCGUGGGGAGCAAACAGGAUUAGAUACCCGAGUAGUCC